UACAGAGGUCCCAAGCGUUGUUCGGAUUCACUGGGCGUAAAGGGUGCGUAGGUGGUGGGUAAGGCGGAUGUGAAAGCUCGGAGCUCAACUCCGAAAUGGCAUUGGAAACUACCCUGCUAGAGGAUUGGAGGGGGGACUGGAAUACUUGGUGUAGCAGUGAAAUGCGUAGAUAUCAAGUGGAACACCAGUGGCGAAGGCGAGUCCCUGGACAAUUCCUGACACUGAGGCACGAAAGCUAGGGGAGCAAACGGG
rnacentral:rRNA from 1 species